AGCUGAAGUCCAAUCAACUUGAAACUUAAUACACAUGUUCCCCAUGAUAUGAUCUUUCUAAUUUUAAUGCCAAAUUAUAGUUUUGACCCAAAUUUCAUGGUCCACUGAACAUAGAAAAUGAUAGUGCAAAGUUUAGGUUAAAGUUUUUGGUCAAGGUAGUUUUUGAUGAAGUUAAAGUUACAUCAACUUGAAACUUAGUACACAUGUUCCCUAUGAUAUGAUCUUUCUAAUUUUAAUUCCAAAUUAAAGUUUUGACCCCAAUAUCACGGUCCACUGAACAUAGAAAAUGAUAGUGGGAGUGGGGCAUCCGUGUACUAUGGACACAUUCUUGUUAGUC
rnacentral:lncRNA from 1 species